CCAAAGUGAAUCGGAAGCCUUAACAUUAC
rnacentral:piRNA from 1 species